rnacentral:rRNA from 1 species
UACGGAGGGGGCUAGCGUUGUUCGGAAUUACUGGGCGUAAAGCGCACGUAGGCGGCUUUGUAAGUUAGAGGUGAAAGCCCGGGGCUCAACUCCGGAAUUGCCUUUAAGACUGCAUCGCUAGAAUUGUGGAGAGGUAAGUGGAAUUCCGAGUGUAGAGGUGAAAUUCGUAGAUAUCUGGAGGAACACCGGUGGCGAAGGCGGCAUCCUGGACCGACACUGACGCUGAGGAGCGAAAGCCAGGGGAGCAAACGGG